rnacentral:misc_RNA from 1 species
GACUAAAAAUCAAGAAAUUAACCUAAACAUAGAAAUACAUCACAAACAACAGAAAUAUUCAAAACCAAAAAAUCACUCCGCCUUUGGCCUUUAUUUUCUCUCCACCGUCGACUACGUACCCUUUCUUUCAUUCAUUUACAUACGUUCAUGUUUCUCUUCUGAUCCAUUUAUCGUCUUUCUCCAUUUUUCUUGAUUUAAUUCUCUACCAUUUCUCUUCCUUCCCCUGUGAUUGGUGAUUAAUCUUUUUUUUUUUU